UGGAAGCCUAACCAACUUGUUAUCUUUGGAACAAUACAGAGAAAAUUAGAAUAGGCUCUAUGCAAGGAUGACCCCAAAGUUCUUUACGGGUUCCAUACUUUG